rnacentral:rRNA from 1 species
GUGCCAGCCGCCGCGGUAAUACGAAGGUGGCAAGCGUUAUUCGGAUUUACUGGGCGUACAGGGAGCGUAGGCGGUUCGGUAAGCCCUUUGUGAAAUCUUCAGGCUUAACCUGGAAAAGUCGGAGGGGACUGCCGGGCUAGAGGACGGGAGAGGAGCGCGGAAUUCCCGGUGUAGCGGUGAAAUGCGUAGAGAUCGGGAGGAAGGCCGGUGGCGAAGGCGGCGCUCUGGAACGUUUCUGACGCUGAGGCUCGAAAGCGUGGGGAGCAAACAGGAUUAGAAACCCUUGUAGUCC